AGUGGGGAAUAUUGGACAAUGGGCGAAAGCCUGAUCCAGCAAUGCCGCGUGUGUGAAGAAGGCCCUCGGGUUGUAAAGCACUUUUAUCAGGAACGAAAUACCACGGGCUAAUACCUUGUGGGGCUGACGGUACCUGAGGAAUAAGCACCGGCUAACUUCGUGCCAGCAGCCGCGGUAAUACGAAGGGUGCAAGCGUUAAUCGGAAUUACUGGGCGUAAAGGGUGCGUAGGCGGUUGUUUAAGUCUGUCGUGAAAUCCCCGGGCUCAACCUGGGAAUGGCGAUGGAUACUGGGCAGCUAGAGUGUGUCAGAGGAUGGUGGAAUUCCCGGUGUAGCGGUGAAAUGCGUAGAGAUCGGGAGGAACAUCAGUGGCGAAGGCGGCCAUCUGGGACAACACUGACGCUGAAGCACGAAAGCGUGGGGAGCAAA
rnacentral:rRNA from 1 species